CAGCAUGUUUCCAAGGGCUUUGGCUGAGUUAUGAUCAUGGGAUCCCCAACUAUAUCACAGAGUGAAAUGGAGCUCUGACAGCUCAGCUCAGGUCAGCACAGAACCUGUGGCUGUUAUUAUCUUUCUUAGAAGG